rnacentral:lncRNA from 1 species
GUCCCAAAAUCCCCCAAAAUGUCCCCAAAAUGUCCCCAAAAUGGCCCCAAAUGGCCCCAAAAUGUCCCCAAAUGGCCCCAAAUGGCCCCAAAUGGCCCCAAAUGUCCCAAAAUGUCCCCAAACGGCCCCAAAAUGUCCCAAAAUGUCCCCAAAUGUCCCCAAACGUCCCCAAAUGGCCCCAAAUGUCCCCAAAAUGGCCCAAAAUGUCCCCAAACUGUCCCCAAAUGGCCCCAAAUGGCCCCAAACGGCCCCAAAAUGUCCCAAAAUCCCCCAAAAUGUCCCAAAAUCCCCCAAAAUGUCCCCAAAAUGUCCCCAAAAUGGCCCCAAAUGGCCCCAAAUGUCCCAAAUGUCCCCAUAUUGGCCUCAAAAUGGCCCAAAUGGCCCCAAAUGGCCCCAAAAUGGCCCCAAAAUGGCCCAAAUGGCCCCAAAUGUCCCCAAAAUGUCCCCAAAAUGGCCCCAAUGGCCCCAAAUGUCCCCACUGUCCCCACUGUCCCCACUGCAGUGACCACGACCUGACCCCCUGGGGGCUCCUGGGGCCGCUCUCGCGGCUCCUGCGGCACCACCUGGACACCGGCGAGAUCCCGGAACAGGUGACGGUCCCGGCGCUCUCCUGCCUCUUCUUCCACCUGCUCUGGGAACUCUCCCGGAUUCCCGACUCCGGAGCCGCCCCGCAGGAGCGUCGGGAGUUCCUGUCCCGGGCGCGCCGGGCGCUCUCCCUCUGCCCCCAGAUCCCCAAAUUCCCAAAUUCCCACCCCAAAUUCGGGCAAUUCCCGCCCAGAAUUCCAUCAGAAUUCCCGGAUUUCCAUGGAAUUCCAUGAGAAUUCCAUGAGAAUUCCCGUUUUUCCCCAGCAGGAACGUCGGGAGUUCCUGUCCCGGGCGCUCUCCCUG